rnacentral:lncRNA from 1 species
UUAUUAAAUAUUCAUUUUUACUCGGUAGACGAGGCCGUUUAAAAAAGAAGAGAAAAAGGUGUAACCUUUAUUGUCAAACAAAUCUAAGCUGGAGUGCAACAUUAUUUUCCCUAGACCAAGCCCAGCCCAGCCCAGUCCAGCCAUUUCUUUUGGUGGGCUUGGAGUUAAAAGUCUUUAAUUUUCAGAUAACCAAGAAACCAUUUAAUUUGGUGUUGAGUUUGGAUUAUCAAACAGAUGUAUAGACUUGGUACUAAUGUGCACACAAGAACAAAUCCAAGUAAUUGAGGACUUAGGUCAUCAGUAUACCUCUGUGUGACCGUCUUAUAAGUUGAAACCACUAGAACACUUGUCGCAAGAUCUAUAUUCUAUAGUAAUUUGUGUGAAUGAUAUGUUGUCCACUGAUGAUGACCCAAUCCAUAUGUAUAUCAUAACAUUUGGCAUUUUAGAAUAUUUAAAACUUACUUGAAU